ACUUUCGUAGUUCAGUUGGAUAGAGCAUCGGACUUUUAAUCAGAGUGUCGCGAGACUCGAGUCCUGUAGGAAGUU